UCCCUGGUGGUUCAGUUGGUAAAGAAUCCACCUGCAAUGCAGGAGAUCCAGAUUCAAUUCCUGGUCAGGGAA
rnacentral:tRNA from 1 species